AGACAGCCAGGAUGUUGGCUUAGAAGCAGCCAUCAUUUAAAGAAAGCGUAAUAGCUCACUGGUCGAGUCGGCCUGCGCGGAAGAUGUAACGGGGCUAAACCAUGCACCGAAGCUGCGGCAGCGACACUGUGUGUUGUUGGGUAGGGGAGCGUUCUGUAAGCCUGUGAAGGUGUGCUGUGAGGUAUGCUGGAGGUAUCAGAAGUGCGAAUGCUGACAUAAGUAACGAUAAAGCGGGUGAAAAGCCCGCUCGCCGGAAGACCAAGGGUUCCUGUCCAACGUUAAUCGGGGCAGGGUGAGUCGACCCCUAAGGCGAGGCCGAAAGGCGUAGUCGAUGGGAAACAGGUUAAUAUUCCUGUACUUGGUGUUACUGCGAAGGGGGGACGGAGAAGGCUAUGUUGGCCGGGCGACGGUUGUCCCGGUUUAAGCGUGUAGGCUGGUUUUCCAGGCAAAUCCGGAAAAUCAAGGCUGAGGCGUGAUGACGAGGCACUACGGUGCUGAAGCAACAAAUGCCCUGCUUCCAGGAAAAGCCUCUAAGCAUCAGGUAACAUCAAAUCGUACCCCAAACCGACACAGGUGGUCAGGUAGAGAAUACCAAGGCGCUUGAGAGAACUCGGGUGAAGGAACUAGGCAAAAUGGUGCCGUAACUUCGGGAGAAGGCACGCUGAUAUGUAGGUGAAGUCCCUCGCGGAUGGAGCUGAAAUCAGUCGAAGAUACCAGCUGGCUGCAACUGUUUAUUAAAAACACAGCACUGUGCAAACACGAAAGUGGACGUAUACGGUGUGACGCCUGCCCGGUGCCGGAAGGUUAAUUGAUGGGGUCAGCGCAAGCGAAGCUCUUGAUCGAAGCCCCGGUAAACGGCGGCCGUAACUAUAACGGUCCUAAGGUAGCGAAAUUCCUUGUCGGGUAAGUUCCGACCUGCACGAAUGGCGUAAUGAUGGCCAGGCUGUCUCCACCCGAGACUCAGUGAAAUUGAACUCGCUGUGAAGAUGCAGUGUACCCGCGGCAAGACGGAAAGACCCCGUGAACCUUUACUAUAGCUUGACACUGAACAUUGAGCCUUGAUGUGUAGGAUAGGUGGGAGGCUUUGAAGUGUGGACGCCAGUCUGCAUGGAGCCGACCUUGAAAUACCACCCUUUAAUGUUUGAUGUUCUAACGUGGACCCGUGAUCCGGGUUGCGGACAGUGUCUGGUGGGUAGUUUGACUGGGGCGGUCUCCUCCUAAAGAGUAACGGAGGAGCACGAAGGUUGGCUAAUCCUGGUCGGACAUCAGGAGGUUAGUGCAAUGGCAUAAGCCAGCUUGACUGCGAGCGUGACGGCGCGAGCAGGUGCGAAAGCAGGUCAUAGUGAUCCGGUGGUUCUGAAUGGAAGGGCCAUCGCUCAACGGAUAAAAGGUACUCCGGGGAUAACAGGCUGAUACCGCCCAAGAGUUCAUAUCGACGGCGGUGUUUGGCACCUCGAUGUCGGCUCAUCACAUCCUGGGGCUGAAGUAGGUCCCAAGGGUAUGGCUGUUCGCCAUUUAAAGUGGUACGCGAGCUGGGUUUAGAACGUCGUGAGACAGUUCGGUCCCUAUCUGCCGUGGGCGCUGGAGAACUGAGGGGGGCUGCUCCUAGUACGAGAGGACCGGAGUGGACGCAUCACUGGUGUUCGGGUUGUCAUGCCAAUGGCACUGCCCGGUAGCUAAAUGCGGAAGAGAUAAGUGCUGAAAGCAUCUAAGCACGAAACUUGCCCCGAGAUGAGUUCUCCCUGACCCUUUAAGGGUCCUGAAGGAACGUUGAAGACGACGACGUUGAUAGGCCGGGUGUGUAAGCGCAGCGAUGCGUUGAGCUAACCGGUACUAAUGAACCGUGAGGCUUAACCUU
rnacentral:rRNA from 1 species